GAUGAACGCUGGCGGCGUGCCUAAUACAUGCAAGUCGAGCGAACGGACGAGAAGCUUGCUUCUCUGAUGUUAGCGGCGGACGGGUGAGUAACACGUGGAUAACCUACCUAUAAGACUGGGAUAACUUCGGGAAACCGGAGCUAAUACCGGAUAAUAUUUUGAACCGCAUGGUUCAAAAGUGAAAGACGGUCUUGCUGUCACUUAUAGAUGGUUCCGCGCUGCAUUAGCUAGUUGGUAAGGUAACGGCUUACCAAGGCAACGAUGCAUAGCCGACCUGAGAGGGUGAUCGGCCACACUGGAACUGAGACACGGUCCAGACUCCUAUGGGAGGCAGCAGUAGGGAAUCUUCCGCAAUGGGCGAAAGCCUGACGGAGCAACGCCGCGUGAGUGAUGAAGGUCUUCGGAUCGUAAAACUCUGUUAUUAGGGAAGAACAUAUGUGUAAGUAACUGUACACAUCUUGACGGUACCUAAUCAGAAAGCCACGGCCAACUACGUG
rnacentral:rRNA from 1 species